rnacentral:rRNA from 1 species
GACGAACGCUGGCGGCGUGCCUAAUACAUGCAAGUAGAACGCUGAAGGAGGAGCUUGCUCUUCUGGAUGAGUUGCGAACGGGUGAGUAACGCGUAGGUAACCUGCCUGGUAGCGGGGGAUAACUAUUGGAAACGAUAGCUAAUACCGCAUAACAGUAGAUGUUGCAUGACAUUUACUUAAAAGGUGCAAUUGCAUCACUACCAGAUGGACCUGCGUUGUAUUAGCUAGUUGGUGGGGUAACGGCUCACCAAGGCGACGAUACAUAGCCGACCUGAGAGGGUAAUCGGCCACACUGGGACUGAGACACGGCCCAGACUCCUACGGGAGGCAGCAGUAGGGAAUCUUCGGCAAUGGACGGAAGUCUGACCGAGCAACGCCGCGUGAGUGAAGAAGGUUUUCGGAUCGUAAAGCUCUGUUGUAAGAGAAGAACGAGUGUGAGAGUGGAAAGUUCACACUGUGACGGUAUCUUACCAGAAAGGGACGGCUAACUACGUG